rnacentral:rRNA from 1 species
UACGUAGGGUGCAAGCGUUGUCCGGAAUUAUUGGGCGUAAAGAGCUUGUAGGCGGUUUGUUGCGUCUGCUGUGAAAUUUCGGGGCUCAACCCCGAACUUGCAGUGGGUACGGGCAGGCUAGAGUGUGGUAGGGGAGACUGGAAUUCCUGGUGUAGCGGUGAAAUGCGCAGAUAUCAGGAGGAACACCGGUGGCGAAGGCGGGUCUCUGGGCCGAUACUGACGCUGAGGAGCGAAAGCGUGGGGAGCAAACAGG